AGUACCUGCCUGGCAGCGUCAUGGAAGACCAGAACCCAGGAGACUGGAGGGGAUGAUCUGACACAGGCCAUUCCACAGCAGAUGAAGGCAGUGGGAACAGGAAGAAAGAGGCCAAUCCUCCAAUGGGUGGGAACAUUAGGAUCCAGUCUCCUAGCAACUUUGAAGUUUAUGGUAGAGUAUUAUUGACAACAAUCACUAUGCUAUCUACAAGUUCUCCAGGACUUAUUUAGCUACUGGUUGCAAGUCUUACUCCCGGUGCUUGCGCCUGAAGCACAUGUCACCCAAACCUGGCUUUCUCCUGAUGGCCCACAUCUCCUCUGAAUGACUUCAGUCAAACACCUGUUUAACCCUUCGUGGGAAGCGAAUCACGGCCUCUCCCAGGCUUUCCGAUCUUUUAUACUUACCCAAGGUUUUUAAAAAGCUGGACCAUCAUUUUAUGUGGUGUGUGGGCGUGAGUGUUUGGGGACAAAAAUUGACAGAAAUGACUUUAAAGUUCCCGGUUAGAUACACUGUAGGACUCACAGUCAAGAUUCUGUCAGCCAUAAGUUCCUGCCUAGACUUCAUGUAGUUUCCA